rnacentral:misc_RNA from 1 species
AACAAGGCGUACCUGCGGACCUGCGGAAGGAUCAUUAUUGAAUAAACUUGGUUGGGCUGUUGCUGGCUUCUUGGAGCAUGUGCACGCCUAGCACCAAUUUUUACCACCUGUGCACCAUUUGUGGACCUGGAUACCUCUCGAGGAAACUCGGUUGGAGGACUGCUGUGCGAAAGCCAGCUUUCCUUACAUUUCCGGUUCAUCUUUUCACAUACCCCAUACGAAUGUAACAGACUGUUGUUU